rnacentral:lncRNA from 1 species
GCUGGGGCUGAAGAAUCAGCUGUGAUUAACAAGAUACCAGAACUACUAAAGCAAAAACUUUGCAUUACUGGGACUAUUGAUGCUGGUUAGCUGGAGCUAAGAAAUUAGCGGUGAUUAAGAAGAGACCAGCAUCAUUGAGGUGACAUCUUCUGGGAAGUGUUUUCUGAGAGCACAGUGGCUGCGUUCCAGAUAUAGCCAAAGUUGUACCUUGUGCUCUGGCUGGACUUGGUAACGUGUAAGGGUCACCCAGGUGGUACUGGUUUUGAAGGCAUGAAGGAGUUGAGCAGAGCAGCUGAGACUUAGCACUGUGAGAGGCCAUGGAAGGCCAUUGGUGAAAGUGCAGCCUCAGUUGCAAUUGAUGGCCUAGGACUGAAGGGGUCAUGCAGUGUUUUGGAGAUGCCAGUACCAUGAGAUGACCACCAAGAGCAGCAGCAGCAGUGGAGUAGAGGCAUCUGGAGCCUAAAGGAUGACGCGUGUGCUACAAAGGGCAUGGCUGGAGAAGUGACCCAAGCCCUUGGAGGAGCCCAGAAGAUCGUGAGUUGGAUCCCAGACAUUGGACGGUUGGAGAUUGAUUUUUGCUUUUGAUUGUGACUGUGCCCUGAUAUUUUCCCUCUUGAAGGAAGAAACUGUUUUAGUGAUGCCCACAGUUAAGAGACUUUUAAUUUAAAAAGACUUUGGAUUUUUAAAAGAGAUGGAUAUUUUAAAGAGAUUGAAAUUUUAAGAAUAUGUAAAGACUGUGGGACAUUUAAAGUUAUUUAGACCUUGGGGAUGAAUAAGAAUGUAAGGGUUGAGGCUUACUAGUGAUGUGUUUGUGUGUCAAGUUGACAAGGGGUCAGUUGUAUUGGCUAGUUUUUGUGUCAACUUGACACAGCUGGAGUUAUCACAGAGAAAGGAGCUUCAGUUGAGGAAAUGCCUCCAUGAGAUCCAACUGUAAGGCAUUUUCUCAAUUAGUGAUCAAGGGGGCAAGGCCCCUUGUGGGUGGGACCAUCUCUGGGCUGGUUGUCUUGGGUUCUAUAAGAGAGCAGGCUGAGUAAGCCAGUAAAGAACAUCCCUCCAUGGCCUCUGCAUCAGCUCCUGCUUUCUGACCUGCUUGAGUUCCAGUCCUGC